AGAUGGAAGUGGAGAAAUAUGAUCUCUGAUGAUGAUCUCAUCAGAACCCUCGCUGCAGCAUUUUGGAUCAUCUGGAAACUUUUCAGAAUAUUUCUGGGACAGAACAAUAAUCAGGAAUUAUAGUCAUCUAAUUUGAAAGUAACAAAUCCAUGGACUGGUUUUCCUGCAUCGCUCUGAGACAGGAUGCUCCUCACUCUGGGAGGUGGAAGAAGGAGGUUCUAGAAACCUGUUUUAUAUCAGUCAAAGGACAGAUCCUGGACCAGAAUAGCUCCAGGGUUCCUCACUGUAGUACUGAAAGCCGAGGUAAUACCAUCCAGAGUAAUUCUAUAGCUCGACAGUGUUCCUGACGUUUUCAGGUCCAGACACAACAACCUCAGUAUUUGUAGAAUUUUCUUACCAUGACCGCUGCUCGGAUACUUCCAGGUCAUUUUACUCCUUUCAGAGCUUAAUAAGCAAAUAAACUCUUCAACCAUCCCUGAGACACGAGGAAUAAACACACCUGACAUCUCAGACCAGAUAGCCUUCAUAGCUGUUUUACAGGUUAAAGCUCUUGAGUCAGAUUUGAUUCUAGAAGCUCCACAAUGAAACCCAGUAAGUAAAACUCUGUGAAUUUGAUUUCUGGGUGGAUUUUCAGAUUCACUUGCAAAUCCAACAGGAAAUGUUUGUAGUCCAUGCUCCCAUUUCCAUGUGUCUGUCCCUAAAACUCCACUUUCAGGGAGGUGGUGACUGUCCCACGCCAUGUUUAGGGUCCACAGCUGUAAGCCACCAUGGUUUUUAUCCAGUCUCAGCUGUUAGUGAGACCCUCACUGAGAAACAGUAGCAUCUGUGGAAGGAAACUCAUCUUUCCAUCAAAUCCCUUCAUAGCCCUUCUCAUGAAUUCCUCUGAUUGUAGUAGAAAUGUGACUCCCAGGAUGCUCAUUGUAAAGAAGAAUCAUUACUAACCUCACCUGUCAGUGGUUUUCAUGUAGCGGCUGCUUGGUGUACACGUCUGUGUGGGACCAGUAGAAACUAGUUCUUUAAACUCACUGGAUGAUAACUGGCUGCUGAUUUUACCAGUUUUCUUCUCCCAAAGUCUGUUCAUCACACUGAACAUGGAAAGCUCUCACUGAGGUCUGGAUCCAGCUUUUACAGAGAUCUGGAUCCAGCUUUUACAGAGAUCUGGAUCCAGCUUUUACUGAGGUCUGGAUCCAGCUUUUACAGAGAUCUGGAUCCAGCUUUUACUGAGGUCUGGAUCCAGCUUUUACAGAGAUCUGGAUCCAGCUUUUACAGAGGCUUUGCAUGAAUCUGUCUACGGGUGGUCUUUCUUUUCUUUUCAUUCGUUCCUUUCUUUCUUUCUUUCUUUUU